rnacentral:rRNA from 1 species
GAGUUUGAUCCUGGCUCAGAUUGAACGCUGGCGGCAGGCCUAACACAUGCAAGUCGAGCGGUAGAGAGAAGCUUGCUUCUCUUGAGAGCGGCGGACGGGUGAGUAAUGCCUAGGAAUCUGCCUGGUAGUGGGGGAUAACGCUCGGAAACGGACGCUAAUACCGCAUACGUCCUACGGGAGAAAGCAGGGGACCUUCGGGCCUUGCGCUAUCAGAUGAGCCUAGGUCGGAUUAGCUAGUUGGUGAGGUAAUGGCUCACCAAGGCGACGAUCCGUAACUGGUCUGAGAGGAUGAUCAGUCACACUGGAACUGAGACACGGUCCAGACUCCUACGGGAGGCAGCAGUGGGGAAUAUUGGACAAUGGGCGAAAGCCUGAUCCAGCCAUGCCGCGUGUGUGAAGAAGGUCUUCGGAUUGUAAGGCACUUUAAGUUGGAAGGAAGGGCAGUAAAUUAAUACUUUGCUGUUUUGACGUUACCGACAGAAUAAGCACCGGCUAACUCUGUGCCAGCCGCCG